GUCGAGCGAACACUUCGGGUCUUUGCUGCAGACGGGUGAGUAACGCGACGGGAAUCUACCUAGCUCUACGGAUGCCUCCGGAAAACUGGAAUUAAUACCGUAUACGCCCUUCAGGGGAAAAAUUUAUUCCACUUGGAUGAGCCCGCGUUGGAUUAGCUAGUUGGUGGGGUUAGGCCUACCAAGGCGACGAUCCAUAUCUGGUCUGAGAGGAUGAUCCACCACAUUGGGACUGAGACACCGACCAGACUCCUACAGGAGGCACCAUGGGGGAAUAUUGGACAAUGGACUCAAGCCUGAUCCAGCCAUGCCGAAUGAGUGAUGAAGGACCUAGGGUUGUAAAACUCUUUCCACGGGGAAGAUAAUGACUGUAACCGUAUAAAAAUCCCCGGCUAACUUCGAGCCAGCAGCCGAGGUAAUGCCAAUGGGGCUAGCGUUGUUCGGAAUUACUGGGCGUAAAGCGCACGUACGCGGAUCGGUUAAUUGGGGGUGAAAUCCCAGGGCUCAACCCUGGAACUGCCUCCAAUACUGCCGGUCUAGAGUUCGAGAGAGAUGAGUGGAAUUCCGAGUGUAGAGGUGAAAUUCAUUGAUAUUCGGAGGAACUCCAUGGGCAAAAGCGGCUCACUGGCUCGAUACUGACGCUGAAGUGCGAAAGCGUGGGGAAGCAAACAGGAUUAGAUACGCCUGGUAGUCCACGCCGUAAACGAUGAGAUGUUAGCCGUCGGGCAGUUUACUGUUCGGUGGAGCACCCUGACGCAUUACACAUUCCGCCUGGAGAGUACGGGUCGCAAGAUGAUAACUCACUUGAAUUGACGGGGGCACGCACUAGCGGCGCAGCAUGUGGUUUACUUCCAAGCAGCGCGCACAACCUUAACAUUCACUUGGACAUCCCGGUCGCGGUUGUCACGAGAUGGAUUACUUCAAAUUCAGCUGGAACAGCUACACGGUGCUGCGUGGUCUGUCAGUCAACUCGUGUCGAUGAGAUGUUUGCGUUACGUCCCGACACGGAUGCACAGCGUCGCCCCGUUAUUUCCCCAGCAUUCAGUUGGGCAUCUAGGGUGUACUGCCCGGUGAAUAGCCGAAACGUCGGUCGUGAAUGACGUCAAGUCCUCAUGGCCCUUACGGCCUGUGCUCGCCACGUGCUACAAUGACUGUUGGACAAGUGCGUCCACC
rnacentral:rRNA from 1 species